GUUGAAACACCGCUUCUCGUAUGAUCGCUAAAGUUAAGCAACGUCUAGCCUGGUAAAUACCUAAAUGGGUUACCGUUUGGGAAGUCCAGGUGCUGUAAGC